CGGAACUGAAUAUUUGACCUACGGUGACCUUUUCUGGCAUGAUCAACAUGAUCCAGUCGUCUUGUGGAUCGAUGUGAAUAAAUGAAGGACUACACAUGAUGAUCAUGGGCUAGUAGUUGACCUAUCACUGACCAUACAUUUUCACCAUGCCACGGAUAUUUAUCAACUUCCGAAGCUGUAAUGGCAUCUAUGAUUGUAUGUUGUACAGUCGGGAGCUGGCUCCUGUGCAAUUAGACGAGGGGAGACUGUUCGUCCAGCUUCUCUUCCUCACAGAUAUUUUGGACAUCAAUCUGAAUGACCUGACAUUCUGUUCAAAAGAAAGUGAUUCAAACGUGCGAAAAUCUGAAUCAGGCAGCCAUGAAAGAUGUGCAGCAAAUCAAGGAAUAUUUGGCAAUCCUGAAAAUGAUUCUCAAACGUUUUGUGAAAAUAUUGUCUCACGGACUAGCAUGCUGCAACAAAGUCACGUGUCAUCGCCGUCUUUCUUAGAUAAGCUGGACAGAGAUUUCCCGGAGGAUCAGUCUCUCACUAUUGGUGUAGUCCCAGCUACAAAGUGUGUCGUAUUAAUGGAUGCCCAUCUUGCAUCCUGUGCCGCAUGUGAAGUUCAUCGAAGCAGGAGAUUUAGAAGACGAUUUUUAAAAUUCCUUGCAAGGACAUAUGGGUUUAAGGCUUGUGAUUACGAGCGCAUUGAUUUUUCGGAUUUGAUAUGUGAUCAGUUUCUGACAGUCCCAUACAUGGUAGAUGUGGUAGCUGUGUGGCCAAAUCAAAGGAUUGAUUACCCAUGGGGAAAGCGAAUCUGUGGCCUGGCGGUGAAGCGGAUGUUGUGUGAGGAAGGGAUGGCGUGGCUGUCCACCCUGGGCGGAGGGUACUCGGCACUCGGAGAUUACUUUCAAGUCCAUGCAGUAACUGCGGGGCAGGUGUCGCUGAAGCAGUUUCGGGUCGCCAUGGAGCUCGGGGAUCCAAUCAUGGCCGCCAAAUGCCGGAUAUUCUGGGCCCAAAGCCGUCUUCAACUUGGGUAUUUCAAAGAGUGCAAGAAGAUAGUCAGACGCCAGUACCUGUUUGCCCAUCACGCCAGCAUCAAGGAUGACAGACUCAUCAACAUGUGCCUGGCAGUGUGGGGACGUCUCAAAUAUCUGUACCAGCUCCGCAAACAGAAGCAUGGGACAAGUCCUGCGCCCCUCCCUGGUACCAGCACCAAGGUUCAUAGGACAGGUCACAUGACACUCAUUGAACACAGUGAAAGGAAUCAUGUGAUGUACUCCAGUCACAGUACCAAAAGUCAUGUGACGCCCAACGACGGCAGUAACGAGAGUCAUGUGACUAGAUGACCCCAAAAUGGCCCAAUUUCCAGUUUUUUUUAUAAUAAUGAUUACAGGAAAUAUGUUACAUAUAUACAAAGCAGAUGUAUUUUUUUUACCAUCAGAAAGAACGUAUUUAGUCAACAUCAUCAGAGCUCAUGUAUUUUGUUUGUACCAUCAAAAGUAUUUUUUGGAUAUUUGUCAUCAGACUGACCUCCACAUGAGAUAUCACUUAGGUAAGACCAAACAAUAUCUCCUAGGGGAUAACUCUGCUUUGAAAUUGCAUCACCCUGCUAUGCAGACCAUUGUGACAUCACAAGUUAUCAUCGCCCGGCAUUUACCCAGUUUGAUUCCCCACACGAUAUACAUGUAGCUGGAACAUUUACUCACAUACUCCCUCACCCAUUGCCCAGUUAUGUUUUUAGGUUUGGCACAAAUCCUGGCGCUUUCUCAUGAAACUCUGUGCUUACUGCUGUUUAAAAUCUUCAGGACUUUUUGUGCAUUUGAUUACCAGCUGUUCAACUAACAUGAUGAGGGACUUAAGUUUAAUACCACUUUUUCAACUAUAUCACAAAGUGGGACAGCAUCACUGUAGUGAUGGGUGAUGAAAUAAUCUGUCAAUAAUUUGAAUGGGACAGUCAGCACGUCAUAUCUACUAUCUUGUCUAAUCGGUACAUACAUUCUUUGUAAUAUUAUUUGAAGAAACAAUUGCACCAGUUGUAAUAAAUUCCCUUUCAUGACGAAGUACAUGUUGAUAUCAUGUGCUGCAUAUAUCAUGUUAGUACCGAGCUGAUAUUGAACCCAACUAAUUCAGUGGUUAUAUAUUGUUAUUAUUUCCUGAUGAGAAUUAGUAAAUGUUCAACAAUCGAUGUGAGAUCUCCGAUUAUUGAUAUGAAUAUUCAGAGCAAUAACCAGCACUGUAUCAAUGGUCUUCACAUUCUACAUAACAUUUCGUGCCCCCUCCUAAUACAUGUUACAUUGUUAUUUUUAUUUGAAAUGAUAUGAAACUGAAUUUUUGGCAAUAUUGGAAACUAUUGUCCCAUCUCCAAUCAUUCAGAGAAUCAAUCCAUCACAUUCGGUACACUAGGAAUAUCCCUCCCGUUAAGACAUGAGUGGUAUAUUUCAGAAUUGACUUCAAUAUUUUUUGUGUUUGUGGAGGUAUAAACUUAAAAACCAGUGUGCAAACUGUGUAAAUCCGCAGAGUGCAAAGUGUGCAUGCUGGUUUUUAUGUUGAUAUCUCCAUAAACUAAAAAAAUAUUGAAGUCAAUCCUUUUGAAUAAAUAUGUCAACAAUAAGUACUUCACAGGCUGCUUAUUUAGUGACUAACAUGUAGACAACGGCAUGAAAUCGGUGACAUCAUGCUGCACAGUAAUGCAACUCAAGCCCAGCCCAUUCUAUAAUCUAUGGAAAAAUAAACACAAAAAAUAUUGCUUGGUUUGCCCAUCAAAUGCCACGGAAGCACUUGCUAUUUAUAUAUUUGAAUGUGAUGAAAACUGUGGUCACUGUUGUUGGACGAUUCAGGGGCCGUAUUCAUAAAGAUUCUCUGAGACUUCUUGAGCACUCUCAGACUUUUCAUGAAUACGUCCCCAGAGUAAUGAGGAUAUCAUACAACAGUCUACCUCACCAGAGUGUGUACAAAGUUCACUUUAUCAUGUGAGCAAGAGAGUAACAUUCUGGAUUUAGGGCUGAGAAUCCUCCACAGAUCUGCAAAUUUUAGUGACCACAAAUUUGUUAAAAUCUCAUGGCUUCCCCCUUAAACACCCCUAGCUUAUGGACCACGCUCCUUUGCAAAGAAGUUUUAGCUGAAAAAGAAAAUAUCCAUUCUCAUCCCUGAAAAUUGAACAUGCAGCAUGUCCAAAUCAAAAUGACAUCAAUUUGCAAGUAAAUAAUUUUUUCAGAUAAUGUACAGUCAUGGUAUUCAUGAGGAAACAUAAUCUCUGUUGAUGAUAUCUUAUUGCAGAGGUGCAUUUGUAGUAAUGUCCACAAUUUAAAUCUUAUAAGAAUGUUCACCACAAUUUGUAUCUCUUAUGAAAGAAUUUCAUAUUAAUCAGUGGAGUAUUUAUAGAAAAACAGCAUGAGAUUUUGUGAUGGGGUAUGCUUUAUCACAACAAAGAAGCGAAAUUGCAUGUUCAUGUGAUAGUUUUGAAUAUAUUUUGCAUAUUUGCAGAACUGAAUAUAUGUGUACGAUGGAAAAUUAUUUUGUUGAGAAGAUUGUCACGGCCUCCUUGCCAUCGUUUAUAAAUUGUUCACUGACUGAUGAAUACUUAUACCCCAUGACUAUAUCCAGGGAUAGAUAUGGUCUGUAGACCAGUGGAAAUAUAGAAGCACAAAUUAUUUAUUUUUUAUACACUUGAAUCGUUGUAUUUAACUCAUGUUGUCUACCCCUGAAAUACAAAUGUUUGCAUGUUGAGAGUUUUGAUUCUUUUCAGUUAUAUACCACUCAAAAAAAGUUAAAGAGCACAGGCUGGGUGAACCAGGAGGGAGGCUGCGUACAUCCCCUUUUCAGACAGUUAAUACCAAUCUGUAACCUGUACCCAUCCCUCAAAGUGUUUUUCUUCACUUCGUAGCUUGGGUGGUGUGCAAUCAUUUUUCAAAUUCGUGGAUCAACUCUGGUAGGCUAGUGGUCAGUGAUGUAGUAGCUUCAGUUCCUUGGUGUAUAUUUUGUAGCAGAGCUUCAAACUGAUUUGCAUAUACAAUGUACUGUUCCUCCAUGAAACAGGGGGCACGGGUGGCCCAGUCAUCUAAGGCGCCGCGAUUCGCUGUGCAGAGUUGCGUCCCUUGUUUCUAGGUUUGUCAGCACCAUACCUGUGCUCGUGGGUUUCACCAAAGUGGUAAACGUCUGAGACCUGCAUCACUUCGGGCUUUCCUCCCACAUUAAGCUGACACGCUGCGAUAUAACUGGAAUACUGUUAAAAGCGGCUUUAAACCCAACUCCAUCAAACAUGAAUUGCAGCCGCUAUGCAGUGAAGGAGUGAACUGACUGUAAAAGUCCAGUUUACACCCUUGCCGAACUAGGCUGGAAUUUUUGGGUUCGACUGUAGCGUCAUCAGUGGCUAUUACGAGUUAUGUCCCUUGUAUGUCCCUCCCACUGACUAAUCAGAUUCCACUUCUCAUUUCACUUGCAUUUGCUUCAAACAAAAUGGUGACACCCGGUCAAGACAACCUGAUUGAUAAUCAAGAUCUGUAUCUGUAAUAAAACGGGUCUUACUUCGUGAAGUGCAUCAAAUCAUGUGACGGCCUUGAUUUAAAAAAUGAAAAGAUUUGGAAAAUAUCUGUUGAUGCGGAGUUGGUGGUACACAUGCUUUGCUAAUCCUGCAAUUAACCGAAAUCUGGACAGCAGUUGAUGAACUGGAAGUCGAUUUCGUUACACAAUGUUGAUUGGACUAUGCAUAGACUUGUGAGUCCAGCCAAAAUAUACUCCAUAAUUUUAGAUAUUUUAACAAUAUUCCAGCAAUAUCACAGUGGAGGACACCCGAAAUUGGCUCCACAUAUUGUACCCAUAAGGGGAAUCGAACCUGGGUCUUCGGCGUGAUGCACAAAUGCUUUAACCACUAGGUUAAACCACCACCCCUCAUCAGUCAUGAACCCCACUCAAUGCAUGACCUUUGUGUGAACUGAAACAUUGCCUGACAUUGUAGCACUGUGUACAGCAGACAGCCAAAAGGCUGUGGUGUCUUUCACACGUCAAGCAAAAACAUUAACAUUUGUACAGUGUAAUCCCAGAGCUCAUUGGUCUUCGGUGUGGUGGGAUAGCCCAGUGGUUAAAGUGAUCGCCACGUGGGUACAAUGUGUGAAGCCCAUUUUUGGUGUGAUAUUGCUGGAAUAGUGCUAAAAGUGAUGUAAGACCAUACUCACCCACUCAUUGGUGUGAGCCCUUGCUGGUGUCCCUCUCAUUGGAGCCAUGCUUUGCUUGAUUUGUCAGAAGAAAAGUGACGACACUGCAAAGUUGUACUUACGUAAGCUGUACUUAUGUAGUGUUUACAAACCUGUGAAGUAUUGGCGUGGCCGAUUGAUGUGUAUGCUUAUCUUUGUUUGUUUGUUGUUUAACACCGCACUUAGCAAUAUUACUGCUAUGAUCGUGGUCUGUAAAUAAUUGAGUCUGGACCAGAUGAUCCAGUGAUUGACUUCAUGAGCAUUGAUCUAUGCAGUUGGGAUACGAUGACAUGCAUCAGCAAGCCUGACCAUCUGAUCCCUAUUGAUGCCUCUAUGGGUUCCUGAAGAUAAAUUCUGACACUGAUCUUCAAGGGUGGUGUACUAACGUGCUAAGUGACCCAUUACCUGUGAAGCUGAUGUGUCAAGGGGAUCUAUGUUUCUCCGAUACUGCGUGACUUUGGUGUUUUUCAGGGGUCAUAACAGGAGCUCUGUCAUUGACAGUGACAGAACCUCUUCAGCAGACUGUUUACCUACUGCUCAAGUAAAUGUUUUUGCAAGUAUCUUAGAUGUUGGUUAUGUCUACGUUUUUGGUUGAGUGUGAGACAUGAUAGAGUUUCAUGCUGUUUAUACCUGUUACCAUGGUUACAGUUACACUGUGAUACUGUGCAAGAUAUUCGCAAUCAAACUCCACAUUUUUCUCCGAUAUUAUUUAUAUGCAGUCAAAAUAUUUAAUGUCAACAUAAUGGUUUGCCUUUAGUUGAAAUUGUCUUGGUAUGAAUCAAACUUGAGAACUAAAUUAUCCAUUUCAAUGAUGAGGUAUCACCGAUUCAAUACAACGAUAGUUUUCCAGAAUGUGAUUGUUAUGGAAUGUUAAAGAGUGGAGAACAAAUAAAAGUAAAUUUGUUGAA
rnacentral:misc_RNA from 1 species